GACGAACGCUGGCGGCGUGCCUAAUACAUGCAAGUAGGACGCAGUUGCGAACGGGUGAGUAACGCGUAGGUAACUACCUAUUAGAGGGGGAUAACUAUUGGACACGAUAGUUAUUACCGCAUAUUAGUUGAUGGAUCUGCUUUGUAUUAGAGAGUAGGUAGGGUAAUGGCCUAACUAGGCAACGAUACAUAGCAGACCUGAGAGGGUGAUCGGCAAAACGUGGAAUGAGACACGGCCCAGACGCCUACGGGAGGCAGGAGUGGGGAAUCUUCGGCAAUGGGAGGAACCCUGACCGAGCAACGCAGCGGGAGUGAAGAAGGUUUUCGGGUCGGAAAGCGCUGGUGUUAAGGAAGCGGUACUUAACCAGAAAGGGACGGCUAACUACGUGCCAGCAGCCGCGGUAAUAC
rnacentral:rRNA from 1 species